UACGGAGGGUGCGAGCGUUAAUCGGCAUUACUGGGCGUAAAGCGCGCGUCGGCGGUUUGUUAAGUCGGAUGUGAAAUCCCCGGGCUCAACCUGGGAAUGGCAUUCGAUACUGGCCGACUAGAGUACGAGAGAGGGAGGUAGAAUUCCACGUGUAGCGGUGAAAUGCGUAGAUAUGUGGAGGAAUACCGGUGGCGAAGGCGGCCUCCUGGCUCGAUACUGACGCUGAGGUGCGAAAGCGUGGGUAGCAAACAGG
rnacentral:rRNA from 1 species